rnacentral:rRNA from 1 species
GAUGAACGCUGGCGGCGUGCCUAAUACAUGCAAGUCGAGCGAACAGACGAGGAGCUUGCUCCUUUGACGUUAGCGGCGGACGGGUGAGUAACACGUGGAUAACCUACCUAUAAGACUGGGAUAACUUCGGGAAACCGGAGCUAAUACCGGAUAACAUGUUGAACCGCAUGGUUCAACAGUGAAAGCCGGUCUUGCUGUCACUUAUAGAUGGAUCCGCGCCGCAUUAGCUAGUUGGUAAGGUAACGGCUUACCAAGGCAACGAUGCGUAGCCGACCUGAGAGGGUGAUCGGCCACACUGGAACUGAGACACGGUCCAGACUCCUACGGGAGGCAGCAGUAGGGAAUCUUCCGCAAUGGGCGAAAGCCUGACGGAGCAACGCCGCGUGAGUGAAGAAGGUCUUCGGAUCGUAAAACUCUGUUAUUAGGGAAGAACAAAUGUGUAAGUAACUAUGCACGUCUUGACGGUACCUAAUCAGAAAGCCACGGCUAACUACGUG